AGAACGAACGCUGGCGGCAUGCCUAAUACAUGCAAGUCGAACGAACUCUUCGGAGUUAGUGGCGCACGGGUGCGUAACGCGUGGGAAUCUGCCCUUGGGUUCGGAAUAACAGUUGGAAACGACUGCUAAUACCGGAUGAUGACGAAAGUCCAAAGAUUUAUCGCCCAGGGAUGAGCCCGCGUAGGAUUAGCUAGUUGGUGAGGUAAAGGCUCACCAAGGCGACGAUCCUUAGCUGGUCUGAGAGGAUGAUCAGCCACACUGGGACUGAGACACGGCCCAGACUCCUACGGGAGGCAGCAGUAGGGAAUAUUGGACAAUGGGCGAAAGCCUGAUCCAGCAAUGCCGCGUGAGUGAUGAAGGCCUUAGGGUUGUAAAGCUCUUUUACCCGAGAUGAUAAUGACAGUAUCGGAGAAUAAGCCCCGGCUAACUCCGCGCCAGCAGCCGC
rnacentral:rRNA from 1 species